rnacentral:rRNA from 1 species
UAUGUAGGGGGCAAGCGUUGUCCGGAUUUAUUGGGCGUAAAGAGCGUGUAGGCGGCCUGACAAGUCUGCUGUGAAAACUCGAGGCUCAACCUCGAGAUGUCGGCGGAAACUGUCUGGCUAGAGUCCGGAAGAGGAGAGUGGAAUUCCUGGUGUAGCGGUGAAAUGCGCAGAUAUCAGGAAGAACACCUAUGGCGAAGGCAGCUCUCUGGGACGGUACUGACGCUGAGACGCGAAAGCGUGGGGAGCGAACAGG